rnacentral:rRNA from 1 species
AUUGAACGCUGGCGGCAGGCCUAACACAUGCAAGUCGAGCGAGCGGCGGACGGGUGAGUAAUGUCUGGGGAUCUGCCCGAUAGAGGGGGAUAACUACUGGAAACGGUAGCCAAUACCGCAUACUAUCGGAUGAACCCCUAUGGGAUUAGCUGGUAGGUGGGGUAAAGGCUCACCUAGGCGACGAUCCCUAGCUGGUCUGAGAGGAUGAUAAGCCACAUGGGAACGGAGCCACGGACCAUAGUACUACGGGAGGCAGCAGUGGGCAAUAUGGCACAAUGGGCGCAAGCCUGAUGCAGCCAUGCCGCGUGUAUGAAGAAGGCCUUAGGGUUGUAAAGUCCUUUCAGCGGGGAGGCGUUACCCGCAGAAGAAGCACCGGCUAACUCCGUGCCAGCAGCCGCGGUAAUAC